AACCUGUGGUUGGUGUAAUCUGAAGAUAACUUGUUAAUCCUACAAAUAUUAAAUCUACAGAUUGCCCCCCCCCCCCUUUAGCUUUCUUACCAGCUGUAUCCGGUACAUGUGUAGUGACACAUUAACUGUACAGUACUCUUGUGUACAUUACUAUCUUAGUGUACGCAAGUAGUUUGAUCAGUAUGGAGCUAACCAUCACUGGAGAUGGGUUAAAUAUCCCAGAGAGACCCGUGUCGAGAGUCCAAAGUCCAGAGUCCCGAGUCCAGUGUCCAGAGUCCAGAUGACAGUAGUACAAAGAGUCUACACCAAGUCCCGAGUCCAGAGGCGUGAGUCCAGUGUCGAGUGUCUAGAGGCGAGAGUCCAGAGUCCGAUAUCCAGAGAUGAGAUUUGUAUCCAACCUCAAUUAAACCAAGAGAUAGUGCAGUAAAAAUUGAAACCAUUGAAAUACAUAUUCAAUAUUGUC